rnacentral:lncRNA from 1 species
UGCCCUUGCUGUCCUCCUCUGCACCAUGGCUCUCUGCAACCAGUUCUCUGCAUCAUUGCUGCUGACACGCCGACCGCCUGCUGCUUCAGCUACACCUCCCGGCAGAUUCCACAGAAUUUCAUAGCUGACUACUUUGAGACGAGCAGCCAGUGCUCCAAGCCCGGUGUCACUUCCUAACCAAGCGAAGCCGGCAGGUCUGUGCUGACCCCAGUGAGGAGUGGGUCCAGAAAUAUGUCAG